rnacentral:rRNA from 1 species
UACGUAGGGGGCUAGCGUUGUCCGGAAUCAUUGGGCGUAAAGAGCGUGUAGGCGGUCCGGUAAGUCCGCUGUGAAAGUCGGGGGCUCAACCCUCGAAUGCCGGUGGAUACUGUCGGGCUAGAGUGCGGAAGAGGCGAGUGGAAUUCCUGGUGUAGCGGUGGAAUGCGCAGAUAUCGGGAAGAACACCCGUGGCGAAGGCGGCUCUCUGGGACGGUACUGACGCUGAGACGCGAAAGCGUGGGGAGCGAACAGG